CGUGGAGCGGGUCUGUAACGAGGGGGCCUGUUUGCACCUCAGCGCAGCCCUGUUGCGGGGAAAUCCCUGACCGGGGGAGCUCCCAGGGGUGGGGCUGUGAGUCCAGUGCCCCGGGCAGGAGGAAGCCUGUGGAAAAGACUCUCCAGAGAGGCCUGGGGCUGAUGGGGGUCUGACACAGCUCCCUGGCUGGCUGGCUCGGGUGAAACUGGAAACCUCGGGAAGGAAGGGUUUGGGCCUGAAGGGCCAAAGGAGGUGAUAUAAACCAUUUCCCCACAGUGCUAUUGAAAAGUAGCUGUUUUGAGGAUGGAAUAUGACAGCCAUAUUAGACCAACAACAUUGCAUAAUUGAUUUUAGGAGGGGAAAUGAAGAACAAUCCCUCAUUUCAGCCUUUGGGGCGAAUUUUAGGCAGCUCCACUGAACCGGUCAACAAAUAUCGGAACAGAUUAUUUGGGUAUGGUCUGUGCUACAAAGGGUGAGCGCUUUAUAAAAGGUGUAAUUGCAUGAAAAACUGUGAGUGCAUACAGGAAGCUGCUAUUCCAGCAGUGCAUUGCUUUGACUCCUGCUUGGAUGCCACAAAACAUUCUUGAGAGAUGGAGGAAAACAAAGGGCAGAGUGCUGGAGCCACCAGAACCCAACUCACUGCUGUAGGUGACCUGAGGAGAAGCUGGCAGAGCUGGGCAGAAGAUCACAUUGAUUAUCAGAGACAAAAUCCAUUCAGCAAUGAUAGCAAGCCUGUGCAUCCCCAGAGAGGAGAUCCCAUCUAUGGAAGACCGCCUGAAGGGUCUAAAACAGAGCAAAGAGGGAAAGCUGCCCACACACAUGUGGGAAAGGAAGUGGAAGAGCUAUGCUUGAUCAUGAGAAAUAUUGGUGAGAAAGGAGAAGAUGGAAAUGUAAGAGUGACAUUCCGACAGCUGUUUGAAACAUAUGUGACUAUUUCCAAUAAAGUAGUGGGGAUCCUGCUGAGAGCAAGAAAAUAUGGGCUGGUUCAGUUUGAAGGUGAAAUGCUUUGGCAAGGAAAAGAUGACAAUGUCAUCAUCACCUUACUUGAAUAAUACUGAUGAAUGUUUCCAUUUAGGAAAAUAAACCAUCUAAGUGUCAGCUUGAUAAAGGUUUAUACAGCACAGGGGUGGAAUGGAAAACCAAUGAAGAGGAUGAAAAAUAUUUUCAUGGAGUCCUAGAAGUUGGAGAUAGAAAUGAUGUAAUGGGUCAACUAAUCUAUCCCUGUGCCCUUUUCCUCCACAGCCUGGACUUGUUUACUUCUAAAUGUCUCAAGCGAGAGGGCUUCUCUUACAGCUCUGCAUAACUGAAGUUAAAAUUACUACCAGUCUGCACUGGGUCUUGUAGCAGUGAGUUUAGAAAUAAGCAGAGUAAAAUCCAUCUCAGAAUGUGGUAUCUUGCUAAUGAACCACAGUUAAAUGCUUGGAGAUGAAUUAAUAAACUUCAGUUUCAUUUAAAAAAAAAAAAAGCUGUACCUAUGGUACAACUUUAAUUAUUUUCACAUAUUGAAAUUGUAAUAAAAUACAUGCAAAUUAGCCUUAACUUCACAAGGUACUUGAAAAAUUCAAAACCUACCAACUUAAUGAAAUACUCCUUACUUAAAUAUUCUGCAAGUCCAGUAAGAGCAUUUGGUGAUUUCACAAGUUAUGUGUUCCACUUUAUGUAUUUUUUGGAAGCCAAAUUUUUUUGAUGUGUAGAAAAAUGUCUUUGCUAUCUUUCCCACUAUCCUUUUCAGUGUCUCUAUGCUUCAUUUAUUUUAAAUUUUUGUGUGUGUCUCUGUUCUGUUCUCCUCGAACUAACUUCUUUCCCAAGAGGUUUACAUGGCAGUCUCUU